UUGAGGCAGGUCCAAGCCCCUCCUCCCUGCACCAAGGUUUCGCCAAGUGUCCCUCAUUUAAUUUUUUUAAAAAAACUUUUAUUUUUGUUUCUGAUUUGCACAUUCCUGCUAAGCUAUAUCACACUGGAAGCAAUGAUGAUUGGUAAUUUAGUUUUAUAGUCUAACCAUUCAUUUAGUGAUAGCUGCAGGAUGGGAGAUACAUGGUCCUUUUUAGAAGAGAUUGGUAGAUAAUCCAGUUUGUUGACCUCUUUGUGCCCAUUGGAUGAGAGCAGCUCCUAGCUCUCUGGGCUGGUCAGUUACGUGUGUUUCUGUGUUUACCGUCAACCUGAGACUGAAGUUGUUAGAAUACACGUUACAUCUCACUAUGUAAAUGUCAAAUAAUUUCCUACUUUGGAACAUACUAAUAAUCAUUAUUCCUUUAUUUUAUUAAAUUCAUCCUUAUAUAUUUUUUGUACAUGUACACUGAUCACAGUCACCCCCACCCCCGACCAGCCUGUCUGUCAACUCUGCUCCCCACAGGUCUCUCUCAUAGUCAAAGGGGUAUUUUGAAGAUCAAAAAAUUAAUAUCUGUAAGUGCUCAUUGUUAGUCUCAGGCACAUACUGAGGUCUAUAUAAGUGUGCUAAACAGCAAAUCAGAAACUAUCAGGGUUUUUAUAAAACAAAGAAUCUGGGCUGUGGAUUGCCUGGUUUAUUUCAUAUUAAAUAUACAUCUUCUUUUUCAGUUAUUUUCAACAAGGCUGGAGUGUCCAUAGCUAAUGCUUUAAAAACAUAUGGAGGCACUUUUGGUUGGUGGGUGUCUUUUAAUUGAUUCUGAUGGGGUAAGGUAAAGUGGGAGCCCCUUGUAAGGUGACAGACUGAAUCAGGCUGCUUUUAAGGAGCAGAACUAGCAGUCCAAAGGCAAUCUCAGUAAAGAGAUAGUGUUGGGCAUUGUGUAGGAUAGGAGGAGGCAGACAAGGGGUUAAGAAGGUGAAAUCAAAGGACAGGAAAUACCACAGGCUUAAGAAUUUUGUCAGAAGGCAACAGAACUCAAGAUACAGAACUGUUGUUUACCAGAGGAACUCUAGGAUCUGUGAAAUAGACCACUGGGUUCUUAUCAGAGGCAUUGGGAACCCUCACUCUCAGGGUCCUGAAGGUGCCUCAUGUCUUGUCCUUGUUUCCACUCUGCUCUCCUGCCAGGGUAAUUUGACAGUUUCAUUGUUGGUGAUUCUACCUCACAAUCUAGUAGUUAGAGUCACUUGUGAAUGUUACCCGUGUAAGAUAGGUAAGCUGCCUAUGUCUGAUAUACUUAGCAUGUCUGACAGCUACACAAAGAUCAUCGAAAUUGGCCUCUUUUAGACUCCGGCUGCACUACUGCCACUGCCUACUUAGCUUCCCAAAGAUAAAGGCCAUGCUUCCCCUGUUGAGGUCUGCAAGACUGAAGUAGACUCAGUCAUCUCUGCAAGUUGGCUCCCGCUACAUGGCUGUCAGUAAAAAUGGCUAUGCGAUGUCUACUACCAGAGGAGUUGCAAAUACCAGUGACUGGUGAAACAUGCUUCUGAGGGAAACAGCUGGGUUAAGACCCACCUCUCCUACACUCUCAGCAGGCCUGAUGUAGCCCCUGGCUGAUCUGGAAUUCACUCUGAAGACCAGGCUGGCUUAAGAUUUGCUGUGUGGGGCUGGGGAAAAAGCUUGAUAAAGCAGCUGCCGUACAAGUGUGAGGCACAAGUUCAGACGCCCAUCACCACGUACGUAAAACACAAAAUUGGGCGUGGCAGCCUGCAUUUGUAACCCCGGUGACGGCAGGGCUACAGAGGCAGGUCCAGGGAUUGACCACCUAGACUAGUGAGACAGUGAUUUCCAGGUUCAUGGACAGACCCUGUCCCUUCAAAAAUGAGAUGGGGAGCAAGAGAGAGACAAGAGAUACCUUCCUCUAGCCCCCCUCACACACAAGGACAAGCACAAUCCACAUACAUGCAUGCAUACAUACAUAAGUGUAAAGAUUAUAAAACUGUGGUAUUUGGUGUCUUUAGGGUAAAAGGUUAUAUGCAACUUACCCUUAGUUAGAAAAAAAACUGUGGUUCUCUGCUGUCUGGACAGAAUGUGACUAAGCAAGAGAGUCCAAGGUUCAGACAAGGAAAGGGGCCAAUGCAAUGGGUAUGGAUUCAUGCAAUAUUUCUUAGAUUUGAUACUCUUCAGAGACUCAAACAAAUGGUCCACCAGGCAACACAUGGUAUCUUAAAUUUUAUGAAAAUCAAAACUUUCAAGAAUAUACAAAUUUAGAGGAAAAAUAAAAAUAAUUUUAUACCUUUACCUGUUAAAAUGUACUAUUGUUUUGUCAUUUGAGACUAGACUACCUUCAAAAGUAUAGAGUAUCCGUUGCACCUUCCAUCUUUCAGAAGCUGCGCAAAAUCCCUUGGGCAAAGAUCUCCAGCCUACAGAGUUUCCCAUCCUGCCACCUUCCUUCCUCGAGGAACACACUUUUCCACCUCAGAUUUCCAGGGUUGUCCAGCACUUGGGGAGUUCCGAAGCUCUGGGUGAAGUUCUGAACUAUUCUCUGGCCAGCUUUGAAGUGGAAUUUGAAGAAACACUCAGCAUAUCACAUACAAGGAAUACGCCUGACAGGAGUAACCACACUUAUGCUGUUACGUUCUGUAUAACAGCAUUUACAAACACCUAAAGCAACUGUAAAUGUUCUUACAACUUCAUGUCUCUAUGCACAUGUUUUCUAAUUAUAGAUGAGAACCUGGCUGUAAUUCUGACACAUCUAAGAGAUCUGGGACUGUAGUUAAAUAUUGUUGGUGGAAGACACAUUUUAAUCUUUUAUUGUUGUUUCAAAAUACAGUGACAAGCUCAUGGAUCAUAAGAAGCUGAUGUCUAAGGACUCGUAACUCACAGAGUGGAAGAGUCACCACCUCAAGUGUCUGCUGACUGGAUGCAAGGAACUAAUCAAAUCCCUGAGGAAUUAGCUGAAAGUGUAUGCAAUCUCUCCUGUUCCUGGUUUGCAACCUACCUUAUCAGAUUAAGUAAUGAAUUCCUAAAAAUCCUGGCCAAUUCUGAAAGCCCAUACUUGAAUUGUAUAUUAAACCUGAGCUGGGGAGAUAGCUCAGUCUGCAAAGUGCUUGUCACGUGAGCAUGAGGAACCGAGUUUGAUCCCUGUAACAAGUACAGUAAGAGGAGUAUAGUGGGCACAUAUUUGUAAUACCAGCACAGGAGGGGUGAGGACAAUUGGAUCCAUGGGGCUUGUUGACCUAAUCAGUGAGCCCAAGGUCCCACUGGGAGACCUAGUAUCGGCAAACAAGGUAGACAGCUAUUGUUCUGUCAAGACACAAUGCCCAGUGUUGUCCUCUGACCUUCACACACACACCUGCACACAUGAAUAGGAACACACAUAAAACAUAAAUCCUAUGCUAAAUCUAUACUAAUAAAUGCUAUAUCUUUCAGGAUUGGAGUGGAGCACCUUAAUUAGUAGUGUGUUCGUGUGUGGAUAUGGAUAUAGGUGUCCACAUAAAUCAGCAUACAAACAUAGACAGAAAGGCUGAAUAUGUCCCAAGUCUGUAAAGCACACACAAAAACACCCUGAGCAGACAAGAGUUCUACAGUCACCAGUGGCAACUUGCUGCUUGCAGGCUAUUGAAAGGGAACAUCUUAGGUAUAUUUAGCUUGAGCCAAAGCUUCCUGUCCACAAGCAGCAACUAGGACGGCAGAUUCAGAGGAGAAGGAAGGGCAUUCCAGAUGUAACAUGGCCCAAGCUCAUGGGAGUCAUAGAUGAAGGGUUCUAGCAGGCCAGAGCAUGGCAAACACAGGCCUGAGCAUGGUAAACAUGGGAGCAGUUGGUUUUGCCCAUUCCUAUGGUGAUAUUUUAUUUGUAUUAAAAUAUUAUUUGUAUGUUAAUAAAUAAAGUUGCCCGGGGGUCAGAGCUAUUAGCAAGCCAUAGGAAAGCAGGGCAGUGGUAGCGUACGCUUGUAAUUCCAGCACUUGGUAGGCAGAGCUGGGUAAGUCUCUGUGUGUUCAGGGAUACAGCCAUUAUUGGAUACACAUGCUUUUAAUCUUAAUACCAAUCAUGGAAAACCUGGAGGCCUAUACAGACAGGCUGUGAGGAGGCGGUCAUGUGGUUGGGUUUACAACCAAUGAGAAGGCAGGACAGGAACUCUAUAUAAAGACUUUAACACAGGGGUAGCUCUGGUUCGGAGAGGUAGGACCACCGCAGGAGGAAGGGUAAGGUUUUAGCUCUUAGCUCUGACCUCUUGGCUUUCUUCUUUGCAUUGGUUCUGUGUUUAUUAUUUAAUAAGAAGGUUGGAUACAUCUACAUUUGGCGCCCAACGUGGUGGCAAGAGUUUCCACCUAAAACCUGAGAAAAGAUUCUAAAACGGAGCUAAAAACAGUUCCUAAUUGUCUCUCUCAAAUGAGCGGCAGCUGCUGGUUUGAGCUACUUGUGGGUUCCUAGCGUGCAUGCUCGACCUGCCAUAUGGCAGGAAUGAGGCCUCUGCAAGUAGCACAUUAAGCUGAGUGGUGGAUUUAGCCUUUGCUAGUACAAAACAAAAAAAGAGGUUUCUGGGCUACACGCUGCUUGGCUAAAAGCAUAGACCCCCGAUAGCUCCCAGAGCUGGCGGUAAACCAUGGCCAUGUUGGGAAGCUGAGGUGGGUGGAUCCAGCAGCCACAGCUGCUGCAGUUUAAGGCAAUAGAUUCACAAUAAGACAGAUUCAGAUGUAAUAGUUUACAAUGUGUGUAAAAGAUACGUAGGCUUGAAAGAGACAAAAAAGAUGAUAUAUAGAGUUAUAGAAAUAAAUACAUAGUUUUAAAAAAUAAAGUCUUUAAAGAGACAGUAAGGGUAGUAUAAAAAAUAAGCCACGUAAAAAUGGAUAUUACACAGAGAAUCUGCAUUGUGUUGUCUUUGGGACUUUUAACUGCAGAAAAACAUUUGAUUGUAAAAGCUGUUGAGUUAUGCCAAAAUGUAUAUUUUAAAGGUACCUUGACUUCAAAAUUUGAAUAUAAGGAUAUGUUGCUUUGGAAAGGAGACUCUGCUUUUGUUCCCACAGAAAGCCAGAGGCUAUGGAUUUGUUCCAGAUUAAGAUACAUCAGGUUUGACCAGCCAAGACCCCCUGAAAGGUCUCUGAUGACACCAUGGCACAGAUGAUCCAACAUCCAGAAUGGUUUGAAGGCAACUGGCUCAGACGAUACACCCUCAUGGACUUUUCCAUGAUCCUAAAAUUUUCUUUGUAUCCCCAUAAGAUACAGCGCCCCCCUCCAGCAGGAAGUAGUAAGAGAAGCUACGCCCAAAUUCCCAAAUUAUAUGUAAUUUUACUUUGUUAAGGUUAAGGUUAAAACCUUCCUUUUUUUUUUUUUUUUAAAAAAAAGGGGGGGAAGUGCUGUGGGAUGUUCUGUAUGUCAAAUGUGUUGCUGAUUAGUCAAUAAUUAAAACACUGAUUGGCCAUUGGCUAGGCAGGAAGUGUAGGCGGGACAAGGAGGAGAAUAAAGCUGGAAAGUGGAAGGCUGAGUCAGAGAGACACUGCCAGCCGCCACGAUGAGAAACAGCAUGUGAAGAUGCCGGUAAGCCACGAGCCAUGUGGCAAGGUAUAGAUUUAUAAAAAUGGAUUAAUUUAAGCUGAAAGAACAGUUAGCAAGAAGCCUGCCAUGGCCAUACAGUUUGAAACCAAUACAAGUCUCUGUGUUUACUUGGUCGGGUCUGACGGCUGUGGGACUGGCAGGUGAGAGAGAUUUGCCCUGACUGUGGGCCAGGCAGGAAAACUCUAGCUACACAUUCCUCUUCCUUCUCCCAUGCUGAACCAUUAGAUCACACUCCUAAAGCUACCCACAAAGGUCUACACCUGUAUCUGGUCACUUUGUUAUGCCAGACUCAUUCCUGAGACUGAUCACCAAGGUGCAAGUAUCAAAACAUUGAAAUCCAGCAAUCAACAUUCAUUAUCUGGACUAAUCUAACUAAAAUACCCAAUCAGAACUUAUUAACACAUCCUGACUCAUUCUAACAUAGACCAUCCCUUUUUCCUCUUAAAAUCAACACAUGCAAAGCUAUUUGCUGCUGUUUCUGUCCAAUUCAGAUAUAGCCACCUUGUCUCUUUGCCUUGCUUAAUAAAGGCCCUCUUCGUGUUUGAUUUGUACUUGG